AUGAGGAAAAGUGUUCCCCACUUCUCCGGUAUGAAAAAGAGAAAGAAGGUCUUAUAUCUUUUGUCUUUCUUUUCGUAUGCAUCAACUCCACUGAUCUCAUUAAAGUGGAUAUGGCAUAGGACGAAAUAAGUGUGACCAAUUGAAGGUUGUAGUCUCUGUACACAAUAUGGCGGUGUAUACGAAUACGAACACAGUUUACUGUGACGAUGAUACGAAAUUCCACGUGUAAUUAAUUAUCUAUAGACGUAGAUGUGUAUCAGUUUUAUCCAAAAUAUUACUUUUUUUAUAAUAAAAAUAGUAAAAUAGUAAAAUAGUGAGAUUCCAAAAUUAAAAAAUGUGUUUAUUGUGGAAAAGGAAGUGAAAAUAAACAACAAACGUUUCAUAGCUGCAAGUAUGGAUUACUACAACACAAUUAAGGACACGAGGACAAAAUAAGCUAUAACAAUACCCUUUAAACUUUAUAAGUUUAGUAGUAGUAGUAUUAUUUAUUAGUAAAAUUAUUUAACAAGAUGGUCAUAAAUAAAAAUUUACGAUUUUUAGACACCUGCAAAA